rnacentral:lncRNA from 1 species
UGGAAACACAAAAAUUUAUAUGCUUUUUGAUACCCAUUUUUACUUAAAUUCAUGCAAAUCCUGUUAAAUUCUUGUCAAAAAAUAAUUAAAUACUAUAAAAUAAUUAAAUUAUGUUAAAAAUAUGAACAUGGUGAAUUUUAGUUAAUUUUAUACUUAAUUUUGAUUAAUUUUGACUAUUUUCGACUGAUUCACGCAAAGG